rnacentral:rRNA from 1 species
CAGCCGCCGCGGGAAUACGUAGGGUGCGAGCGUUAAUCGGGAUUACUGGGCGUAAAGCGUGCGCAGGCGGUUAUAUAAGACAGAUGUGAAAUUCCCGGGCUCAACCUGGGACCUGCAUUUGUGACUGUAUAGCUAGAGUACGGUAGAGGGGGAUGGAAUUCCGCGUGUAGCAGUGAAAUGCGUGGAUAUGCGGAGGAACACCGAUGGCGAAGGCAAUCCCCUGGACCUGUACUGACGCUCAUGCGCGAAAGCGUGGGGAGCAAACAGGAUUAGAUACCCCAGUAGUCCCUGUCUCUUAUAC